rnacentral:rRNA from 1 species
AUUGAACGCUGGCGGCACGCCUAACACAUGCAAGUCGAGCGGCAGCGAGUGUAGUAGCAAUACUACAUGUCGGCGAGCGGCGGACGGGUGAGUAACGCGUAAGAACCUGCCGUAUAGAUGGGGACAACCAAGGGAAACUUUGGCUAAUACCGAAUAUUCUCGAGAGAGGAAAGGUGCCUAGCAAUAGGUGUCGCUAUAUGAGGGGCUUGCGUCCGAUUAGCUAGUUGGUGGGGUAAAAGCCUACCAAGGCGAUAAUCGGUAACUGGUCUGGAGGGACAGCCAGUCACACUGGGACUGAGACACGGCCCAGACUCCUACGGGAGGCAGCAGUGGGGAAUAUUGGACAAUGGGGGCAACCCUGAUCCAGCGAUGCCGCGUGGGUGAAGAAGGCCUUCGGGUUGUAAAGCCCUUUAAGAUGGGAUGAAGAGUGUGAGAGUAAUAUGCUCAUGCUUUGACGGUACCGUCAGAAUAAGCACCGGCAAACUCUGUGCCAGCCGCCGCGGUAAUAC